rnacentral:rRNA from 1 species
GAGUUUGAUCAUGGCUCAGAUUGAACGCUGGCGGCAUGCCUUACACAUGCAAGUCGAACGGUAACAGGUCCUCGGAUGCUGACGAGUGGCGAACGGGUGAGUAAUACAUCGGAACGUGCCCAGACGUGGGGGGAUAACGAGGCGAAAGCUUUGCUAAUACCGCAUACGAUCUAAGGAUGAAAGCAGGGGACCGCAAGGCCUUGCGCGUUUGGAGCGGCCGAUGGCAGAUUAGGUAGUUGGUGGGAUAAAAGCUUACCAAGCCGACGAUCUGUAGCUGGUCUGAGAGGACGACCAGCCACACUGGGACUGAGACACGGCCCAGACUCCUACGGGAGGCAGCAGUGGGGAAUUUUGGACAAUGGGCGAAAGCCUGAUCCAGCAAUGCCGCGUGCAGGAUGAAGGCCUUCGGUU